GAGUUUGAUCCUGGCUCAGGAUGAACGCUAGCGGCAGGCUUAACACAUGCAAGUCGAGGGGUAGUUGUCUUCGGACAAUGAGACCGGCGCACGGGUGCGUAACGCGUAUGCAAUCUACCUUUCACAGAGGGAUAGCCCAGAGAAAUUUGGAUUAAUACCUCAUAGUUAAUAAAAAAGGCAUCACUUUAAUUAUAAAGUCACAACGGUAUAAGAUGAGCAUGCGUCCCAUUAGCUAGUUGGUAAGGUAACGGCUUACCAAGACGAUGAUGGGUAGGGGUCCUGAGAGGGAGAUCCCCCACACUGGUACUGAGACACGGACCAGACUCCUACGGGAGGCAGCAGUGAGGAAUAUUGGACAAUGGGCGCAAGCCUGAUCCAGCCAUGCCGCGUGCAGGAUGACGGUCCUAUGGAUUGUAAACUGCUUUUAUACGAGAAGAAACACUGAUUCGUGAAUCAGCUUGACGGUAUCGUAAGAAUAAGGAUCGGCUAACUCCGUGCCAGCAGCCGCGGUAAUACGGAGGAUCCAAGCGUUAUCCGGAAUCAUUGGGUUUAAAGGGUCCGUAGGCGGUCUAGUAAGUCAGUGGUGAAAGCCCAUCGCUCAACGGUGGAACGGCCAUUGAUACUGCUGGACUUGAAUUAUUAGGAAGUAACUAGAAUAUGUAGUGUAGCGGUGAAAUGCUUAGAGAUUACAUGGAAUACCAAUUGCGAAGGCAGGUUACUACUAAUGGAUUGACGCUGAUGGACGAAAGCGUGGGUAGCGAACAGGAUUAGAUACCCUGGUAGUCCACGCCGUAAACGAUGGAUACUAGCUGUUGGGGGCAACUUCAGUGGCUAAGCGAAAGUGAUAAGNNNNNNNNN
rnacentral:ncRNA from 1 species